rnacentral:lncRNA from 1 species
AUCUUCGUAGAGGAAAUUAACAGUGUUCUAAAUUCUGGGUUUCCCUUGUUCCAUUAUAUCUUCAUGCUUGUCACUUCUUGUAGGUUAAGUAGUGCUCUUCUGCUUGUUUUGAUUUGAAAGGUUUUUGGAUCUGAUGAUUUUAACCCUCGUCUGCUGAGCCUUAUCUAUACAUAUAUGUAACAAAUAAGGUUGAGAGAUUCAAUCUUGUCACCAUAACUAGGGUUUCUUUUUCCUUCUUUUUGGCCGUUUUUUCUAGGUUUAGGCAAAGGAGAGAUUUACUGAUGGUUAAAGGUGAGACAAAGGGGUGGAGCUCCUUGAAGUCCAAUAGAGGGUCUUGCAGGGUAUAUAGAGCUGCUGAGCUAUGGAUCCCUAAAGCUCUAUCCCAUAUAUAUAACUUUUAAAAGAAGGGAUAGACUUUUGGCUUGCAUAUCUCAGGAGCUGCAUUACCAAAAAUGUCAGAUCCUUGUUUGGAUUGAAGGGAGCUCUACACUUAGUCACUGAUCUUUGUUUUUAGUAGCCAUGAUCUGAUUUAACUUUAUAGAACCCGUUCAUGGUUUUGCUUUGAAUAUUGCAAGUUGAUUAUUUGAUUUUCUUUUUUGAAGUAUAUGCAGGAGGAGGGUGAAGACAUUGAAAGGGGCAGAGAUGGUGUCAGAAUAUCUUGUGCUUAGAUUUUUUGGUUGUCUAAACUAUUUUUAGAGAGAGAGAGGGGAGUUAGGGCCUUUAUUGUACCUUUAUUUUUUUAAAGUAUAUAUGGUUUUUGCUUUUAUUCUUCAAAUAUUGUUGGUGUUUUGUGAAUUGCAAUCUAUGUUUGUGUAUGAGCUGCAAAGUUUAUUAUUGUAUUUUAAUUUUAUAUCAUCACAUAAAUAUUAUAUAUAGUUUAAAAGUUUUAAAUAAUAAUGUUAAACAAGUUUAGAGUAUGAUGUUAUUACAUGAAUUAAAAUAAAAAAUUGUUGAGUGUUAAUUUAAUUAAAAUAGGUAUUUUGAUUUGUGAUUGAAAUAUUAAAAUACUAACUUCAAGGAGCAAUCUUCUGAUUAUUGACUGUAGGCAGGGAAUUUUUUUUAAUUGAGUGUAAGAGGGUUUAGAUUUGGGUAUUUAGCGUUAGGUAGGUCAUUGACUUAAUUUUUUUAAUUAUUACAUAACUUUGUUAAUCGCUUUAAUUAUGAAAUCCCUUUAAUUAUUAAAUUAGUUGUUCAAUUAAAUGUAUAUUCUUUAGUUGAAGCUGUAAAUCAUGACAGGUUUUAUUAUCAUAAUAAUUAAUUUACUUUUCUAAACCAAUUUCAC